rnacentral:rRNA from 1 species
UACGUAGGUGGCAAGCGUGUCCGGAAUUAUUGGGCGUAAAGCGCUCGCAGGCGGUUUCUUAAGUCUGAUGUGAAAGCCCACGGCUCAACCGUGGAGGGGCAUUGGAAACUGGGGAACUUGAGUGCAGAAGAGGAGAGUGGAAUUCCACGUGUAGCGGUGAAAUGCGUAGAGAUGUGGAGGAACACCAGUGGCGAAGGCGACUCUCUGGUCUGUAACUGACGCUGAGGAGCGAAAGCGUGGGGAGCGAACAGG